UCUAAUACCGGAAUAGGACCACAGUAACACAUGAUCCUGUGGCUGGAAAGCUUUUGCGGUGUGGGAUGGGCCCGCGGCCUAUCAGCUUGUUGGUGGGGUGAUGGCCCACCAAGGCGACGACGGGUAGCCGGCCUGAGAGGGUGUCCGGCCACACUGGGACUGAGAUACGGCCCAGACUCCUACGGGAGGCAGCAGUGGGGAAUAUUGCACAAUGGGCGAAAGCCUGAUGCAGCGACGCCGCGUGGGGGAUGACGGCCUUCGGGUUGUAAACCUCUUUCACCAUCGACGAAGGUCCGGGUUUUCUCGGAUUGACGGUAGGUGGAGAAGAAGCACCGGCCAACUACGUGCCAGCAGCCGCGGUAAUACGUAGGGUGCGAGCGUUGUCCGGAAUUACUGGGCGUAAAGAGCUCGUAGGUGGUUUGUCGCGUUGUUCGUGAAAUCUCACGGCUUAACUGUGAGCGUGCGGGCGAUACGGGCAGACUUGAGUACUGCAGGGGAGACUGGAAUUCCUGGUGUAGCGGUGGAAUGCGCAGAUAUCAGGAGGAACACCGGUGGCGAAGGCGGGUCUCUGGGCAGUAACUGACGCUGAGGAGCGAAAGCGUGGGGAGCGAACAGGAUUAGAUACCCUGGUAGUCCACGCCGUAAACGGUGGGUACUAGGUGUGGGUUUCCUUCCUUGGGAUCCGUGCCGUAGCUAACGCAUUAAGUACCCCGCCUGGGGAGUACGGCCGCAAGGCUAAAACUCAAAGAAAUUGACGGGGGCCCGCACAAGCGGCGGAGCAUGUGGAUUAAUUCGAUGCAAUCGCGAAGA
rnacentral:rRNA from 1 species